GACGAACCGUGCGAACGUUAUUCGGAAUCACUGGGCUUAAAGCGCGUGUAGGCGGGUGACCGCGUCGAUGGCUGAAAGCCCCCGCUCAACCGGGGAAGCGGCCUCGAAACGGGUUGCCUGGAGGGGAGUAGGGGGACCUGGAACUUCCGGUGGAGCGGUGAAAUGCGUUGAGAUCGGAAGGAACGCCCGUGGCGAAGGCGGUUCUCUGGGACGGUACUGACGCU
rnacentral:rRNA from 1 species